AGUAAUUUAUUUAAAAUAUUAGCUUGUGGUGCUAAAAAUGUAAUUAUUUACCUUGGAUAA
rnacentral:tRNA from 1 species